CGGCGGACGGGUGAGUAACACGUGGGUAACCUACCUAUAAGACUGGGACAACUUCGGGAAACCGGAGCUAAUACCGGAUAAGAUAUCGAACCGCAUGGUUCGAUAGUGAAAGAUGGUUUUGCUAUCACUUAUAGAUGGACCCGCGCCGUAUUAGCUAGUUGGUGAGGUAACGGCUCACCAAGGCAACGAUACGUAGCCGACCUGAGAGGGUGAUCGGCCACACUGGAACUGAGACACGGUCCAGACUCCGUACGGGAGGCAGCAGCU
rnacentral:rRNA from 1 species